rnacentral:lncRNA from 1 species
CAAGCAUAGUGCAGUAGAAAGAGAGAAUGUAUCCUGAUCAGUAAGAUUACAUAGAGACACAAAUUCCAGAUCAUAAAAAUCAUGUAUUCUGGGGAUUCAUUAUUCCAGUCGAGGGGCACACACUACUGAGGAAUGGUGAGAAUCACAAAUACAUUGAUGAUGAUAAAUAUUUGCAUAUUAACUACAAUAUUUGG